rnacentral:rRNA from 1 species
AUUGAACGCUGGCGGCAUGCUUUACACAUGCAAGUCGAACGGCAGCGGGGGCUUCGGCCUGCCGGCGAGUGGCGAACGGGUGAGUAAUGCAUCGGAACGUGCCCAGUCAUGGGGGAUAACUACGCGAAAGCGUAGCUAAUACCGCAUACGCCCUGAGGGGGAAAGUGGGGGAUCUUCGGACCUCACGUGAUUGGAGCGGCCGAUGUCAGAUUAGCUAGUUGGUGAGGUAAAGGCUCACCAAGGCGACGAUCUGUAGCGGGUCUGAGAGGAUGAUCCGCCACACUGGGACUGAGACACGGCCCAGACUCCUACGGGAGGCAGCAGUGGGGAAUUUUGGACAAUGGGCGCAAGCCUGAUCCAGCCAUGCCGCGUGAGUGAAGAAGGCCUCGG